AUUGAACGCUGGCGGCAUGCUUUACACAUGCAAGUCGAACGGUAACAGGCCUUCGGGUGCUGACGAGUGGCGAACGGGUGAGUAAUGCAUCGGAACGUGCCCAGAGGUGGGGGAUAACGCAGCGAAAGCUGUGCUAAUACCGCAUGUGAUCUGAGGAUGAAAGCGGGGGACCAGGCAGCAAUGUUUGGCCUCGCGCCUUUGGAGCGGCCGAUGUCAGAUUAGGUAGUUGGUGGGGUAAAGGCCUACCAAGCCGACGAUCUGUAGCUGGUCUGAGAGGACGACCAGCCACACUGGGACUGAGACACGGCCCAGACUCCUACGGGAGGCAGCAGUGGGGAAUUUUCGACAAUGGGCGCAAGCCUGAUCCAGCAAUGCCGCGUGCGGGAAGAAGGCCUUCGGGUUGUAAACCGCUUUUGUACGGAACGAAAAGGCUCUGGCUAAUACCUGGGGCUGAUGACGGUACCGUAAGAAUAAGCACCGGCUAACUACGUG
rnacentral:rRNA from 1 species